rnacentral:ribozyme from 15 species
GUUUUUCCCGCUUUUUUUUUUCCAAAACGGCCCUUUUUCCUCUCUUUUUCUCCGUUUCUCCCUGAAGCCUAACAACCAUGAAGAUAUGACCGGGAGAAGGGUUAGGGAUAAGAGCAAUGUUAUCGCCGAUAUUUAAUUUUAUUUUUUU